GGGGUUGUGGCUCAGUGGUAGAGCACUUGCCUAGCAUGUAUGAGGCACUGGGUUCAAUCCUCAGCACCA
rfam:Ictidomys tridecemlineatus contig043559, whole genome shotgun sequence.